rnacentral:lncRNA from 1 species
AUGUGCUGUUGCACAUGGUGUGCUCCUGCUCCUUGACCUUGCUGCUGCUCAGCUUGCUGCUCUGAGCUCUCUGUGUACUCAUGAAGUGAGUUCAGUGCCUUCUGCCUUGCUUCCUCAAGGAAAAGAGCAACAGCCAUGGAGGAAAAGGGAGCCUUGCUGCUCUUGUCCGUAUGUGAUGAUCCAGAGCAAGACUUGAGGGAAUCCGGGGAAGACUGUAUUGUAAUAUCUUCCAUCUUCUCCUGACGUACCAGAAACUUGAUCAUCUGACUCUGCUCUUCUUCUGCAGCAACUCUCAGUCCUCUGCAACAAGCCUCCGUGUUGAGCUACGGAGAGAGUGGUGUUAUUCCGGGUGGUGUCCACGUGUAUUGAAAGGGGAAUGGAAGCUGUGAUCAAAGCUCGACUGUUCUUUGUCUGCAGACUUUGGGCACAAGUUUCUACAGCUGACCUGCUGAUUUCCCAUCGCAGUUGAACACGCAGAUCUCAGCAAGCCCCAGCGAUACACUGACAGCUGAAUUUGGCCAAGCAUACGCACCUCCUGUUGACAUACAUUGCAAGUUUAAUCUGUGUCCUCCCAUCCUAUGCAGCUGGAAGAUUUAUUGCUGCUAGAGGAGCCUCAGAAGAAGUGUCCUUUUCAUGCAGUUUUACCUUGAAGUUUCAGUAGUGGUUUGAUAAUUCACUGCACGUGCAAUGCACAGUGCACUUAUUUCUUCCUAAC